AAAAGUAUAAAAGUGAGGAAACAUAAGAAAGAAGUUAUAGGACCUCCAAAAAGUCUCAAAGAAUUCAUAUUAGCCAGAACGAAAGGAAAGUCUAAGGGUUACAACAGACACAGUGACUAUCCCUGACUGGAGAAGAUAAUCAAGAAAAUGCUGACUGCCCACUAUGUGCAUGGCACUGUACUCAACAAGGGGUACCUCUAAUCUGACUCAGCAAAAUAGGUUUGUUAACACAUUAAUGAUCCUCUGUAGAGACUGCAGAUGCAAGCAAAAUUCUCCAUAAGCAAGCUUAAUUCUAUAGUAAAGCAAGAAAAGGAGCCCAAGUAGCCCAUAAGUGUUCUCCUGUAGGUGAUAAAUGACCUUUCAAGUCCAACCAAGUGCUUUCACCUAAAAGAACAGGUGAGCAAAUGCUG
rnacentral:lncRNA from 1 species